UUAGAAAGCUUGCACAUUCGCUAACUGCACUGUCAUUAAAUCUUUUUUUUUUAAAUCCCCUUUUCCACAGCAUUUUAUUGAGAGUAUUUCUGUUAAUCAUUUCACUUAAUUUAAAUAAUUUUUUCGCCACAGAACGUUUUAUAUCCAAUCCUGUGGUUUAACUGACACACAGCCAUCAACAUUAAGAUGCAAAUAUGAACACAUACAAAACGCAAUCAUAUGUACAUAUGUAUGUACAAAAACCGCAAGAAAUGAAACCCGACGACCUCGUAUUAAUUUGUUCCAGUGCUGUUUAAUUACAAUUAUAGCCACAGCUUAAAAACUAUUGUUUAUGUAUGUAUUAAGAGAUAUGUAUGUAUACACAUAUGUAAAUACACUAUACUAAGUCAUUAAAGGAAAUAAAAAAGAACAAUGAAAUUGAAAAUAAUAAAAACAAAAAUAUCGAAUCGCUUUCUAGUAUUUUCAUCAAUAUUGUAAAUGAAAGAGAGAAGGCAAGCAACCGCUAACGGUUGCCUUGCCAAUGACAGGUGAUGCAGCUAGUCAGAGGGUUAAAAAAAAUAAAAAAAUAAAAAUUUUAGGAUGAAUUAAAUGCGAUAUUAACUCAAAUUUGCACAUACACAAAUAAAGUCAUUGGCAUAUGGAGACGAUGUACAUAUGUAUGUAUAGCCAUAUACUCACUUUUGCAUAUUUCGGUUUUCGGAUUUCCACAAGCAACAAGAAAAUCAAUUAACUCGAAGCUGAAAUUUUCCCUAGUUUCUUGGCUUUUUUCUAUUUUCUUUAGUUUUUUCAGCGAUUUUUAUUUUUUUAUGGCUGAGUUGAGUUGCACUUUUUGCGAUUCGUCGCUGAUUUUUCUUCCAUUUGAUUUGUGAAACUUUCACCCGAAACAAGUCAACAACAAAUGUGCCAGAGCCAAAUGAUUAAAUUUUUCUAUACACCUUUACCUAUUUUUCUCCAUUUUUUGCAUAUGAGUGAGUUAGUUAGAGAGAGUGUUUGUGUUUGUAUGUACAUAAAUACAUAUGCUUUCCCAGGUCUCCGAAAAAUAAAAACCUGCCAGCUGACGUAAUCGCGAAGCAUAACAAAUAAAAAACAAAAAAAAAAAAAAAAUACAAAAAUAAAAGAUUUGGUGUAUAAAACAAAAGUUUUGUGAAUUGGGCGCGCGUGUGUCGCCGUCGUCAAGUUGAGUCAAUCAACAAAUACACACGGACACUACAUAGUCAGAUGUGCACACGAAACGACAGUAAAAACUCCUUAAAACGCAAGACAUUUAUUGUAUUCAUCUAGAAGAGAAAAUCUGAUUCCUAAGAAUGAUCUGUCAGAUCUAGUAGACAGUUUGUAGAUCUUUUUCUGUAGUUGUUCACACUAAAAAAAUUUAAAUAAUUCCAGGGUGAAAUAAAAUGAAUAAAAUCUGAGGAUUUACUGUUGAUUAAUACGUACAUAUGUAUGUAUGUACAUAAUUGUAAAUUGUUAAGCAGUUGUCGCACAAUCAGAAAAAAGCAAAGCAAAGAGAGCAAAAAGAUGAAAAAGACGAGGCGGAAAGAAAUUGAGAAUCACGAACAAAAAAAAAAAAGGGAAUGGUAAAAGAACACAUUAAAGAGCUAAAUCUAAAGACAUUUCUUACGAUUUUUAUCAUCUGGGUCAACCGAAAUAGAUAAGAAAAAUAAAUCGACAUAUGUAUAUCGAAUAAUUUGAAUCUGAAUAAUUUACAUUCUUAAUUUUCAACUAGACUCCCUCUAAUUGGACUUUAAUUCGCCAUUUCCGAUUAGGCGCAUUCUAUACAUAUCGCGUAAUUAAUUAGAAGAAAGAAGACGAAGCGAAAGGAAAGUAUAACUAAUUAGAAUGUUUCAAAGCUUUACGAGAUAAAACCAGGCAAAAUACCUCAAAUAUGCGACAAGCUUUCAACGUUUAUCGGUUUGUCUUUGCUUGUCGUUGGCCUUUUCUUGUUUCCCUUUUGAUAACGAACGGUGAGUAUGAAAAUUAAACAAAAGAAACCUACACAAAAAGCAUCGAGAACAAGAAAUAACAAAUUAACAUGCCGCGAAUAUAGAAACAAAACAAUGGCGAAAAAACAUAGUGAACCUUAUGUGGGAGAGCCAAAGAGGCCCAAAAACAAAACUGCACAAUGAAAAGUGGAGAGCAGCAGUGUUGCUCAACAUAAAUAGAUUUUUAUGUUUUGGGGUAAAUAUUUAUAGAAAAAGUUUAUGCAGUUUAUGUAGUCAAAAAGCGCUGAAGCUAAUUUCUAAAAAUUAUACCUGUUCGUGCAACAAAAUUGGCUUUUUAUUCAUUACCGUCUAAAAAGUAAAGUUUACCGUAAUAUAGGUAAAUGCUAAUUGUCAAUUGCAUUUGUGUUAAAAAUAGCUAUAUCUGGCGGGGAAAACCGCUGAGCUAACAGCACUGUCACUCUCGCAAAGUCGCGAGAAAUCGACGGCGUCUAAUUAUGCUGCAACAACAAAUACAACUAAACAAGAACAGGCAAAGGUGGUGAGAGAAGGGGAGAAGAGAGAAAGAGAGCGACCCAGUCAGUGGAAAAUAGACAGCGACCCACGACAACAAAAAACGCAGCGAGUGGUGAAGAACGAGUUGCUCUCGCCUCCUUUCUUUUUCACACCCUCCCCUUCUUUUUUUUUUGGAUAACUUUAAAAACAGUUUAAUUUACUAUUUGAGCAAACGCGAAAUGCAAAACAAUCAGCACACACAUACACACACAAACACUCGCAAAUAAAGAAAUUGAACAACAAAAUAACGAAAACAGAGAAAAGAGUGUCGGAAUAAAUUAAAUAAAAGGCAACUGACGUUUGACGAUGUGUCGUCGAUUUCGUUUUGCGUUUUUAUUCGCCGUUUCCCUUCCUUGCUUCUUUUGCUUUCCUCUUUGGUUUGCGCUUCGUUUCGGCUGCGCGUGUUUUUCGUUUCAGUUAUUAUUGAGACUAAAAAUGCGGCGUGAGAUUUGAUUGUGAGUAAGCGCAACGCAAAGAGCAAAUCGUCAAAGCGGCGACGCUGGCAGAGGCAGCAACGUCGGCAGAGUACGGCUCACACAAAAAAAAAAAAUAGAAAACCGUACUAA